rnacentral:rRNA from 1 species
UGAAGAGGAACCUAAAGCAGAAGACCGUGAACGUGUAAGACAGCGUCAUAGAGAUCAGUCCUUUGUUUGUGACCUAUGACCCUCGUCGUUUUGUAUCCACGGUCGCCUUUUCGGAGCCUCCAUGGUGUCAAAAAGGCGCAAAAACAAACCCCGGCACGGCAUGUGCCAAGGAAAAUUGAACUCUAGGAAGGCGUCAUGCCAUGUUGCGCCGUUUGCGGUGUGUGCAUGGGAUGUGGCUUCUUUGUAACCAGAAACGACUCUCGGCAACGGAUAUCUCGGCUCACGCAUCGAUGAAGAACGUAGCAAAAUGCGAUACUUGGUGUGAAUUGCAGAAUCCCGUGAACCAUCGAGUUUUUGAACGCAAGUUGCGCCCAAAGCCACUCGGCUGAGGGCACGUCUGCCUGGGCGUCACGCAUCGCGUCGCUCCUCCCCCUGCCUCCUCAAUGUGGUGUACGGGAUUGGAGCGGAUACUGGUCUCCCGUGCCUAUGGUGUGGUUGGCCAAAAUAGGAGUCUUCUUUGAUGGACACAUGACAAGUGGUGGUUGACAAAACCUUAGUCUCGUGUUGUGUGUCCUGAUUUGUAAGCGAAGACCUCGUAUAUACCCUAACGUGUUGUCUACUAAAAGACACGCUUCGACCGCGACCCCAGGUCAGGCGGGACUACCCGCUGAGUUUAACAUACACAACCCGGGGGAAAAAAAAUUUGGCCGCA